rnacentral:lncRNA from 1 species
CUAUAAUGCAAUAUUUUUUAAAAAUAAAAAUUAAUACAAAAAAUUCAUGAUAAACAACUAUCAAGAUUUUGAAAAAGACAGGGUCAGUAGUACAGAUUUUUCCUUUUGUCUCAGGCUCAAGUAUGCUCAGUGCAGCGCUGUGUGCUAGCUGCUACACCAUAGGGCUUUACAUCCAUUGUCUUAUUUUUUUAUUUUUAUUUUUUAGCCUUUUUUUUGGAAGAUUGGCCCUGAGCUAACAUCUGUUGGCAAUCUUCCUCUUUCUUUUUUUCCCUCCCCAAAGCCCCAGUACAUAGUUGUAUAUCCUAGUUGCAAGUGGUUCUAGUUCCUCUAUGUGGGAUGCUGCCAUCAAGCAUGGCUUGAUGAGCAGAGCGUAUGUCCGUGCCCGGGAUCCAAACUGGUGAACCCUGCCCUGCUGAAGCGGAGUGCGUGAACUUAACCACUCAGCCAUGGGGCUGGCCCCUCAUUAUUUUAUUUAAUCUCCACAAUAACCCUUAUGAUUAGGUUCUGCAAUUAGCAUGAUUUUAUGGUUGAGGAAGCGGAGGCUUGGUGGGCUCAAGUCACAGAGGUGGUAAGGGGCAGGAAUGGAACUCGAACCCAGGUCUCUGGCUUUAUAAUUCAUGCUUUUAAGUACUGGGUUAUGUGCCCUUACAAAUAUACAUACAGAGCUCACUGCUCCACAGAGACUGCCCCAGUGUGGCUGAGCUGGCAGUGGGCUCUGCCUGGGGCAACGCUCUGGUCCUCCUGGAGGGAUGCUCAGCGCAGUUUCAUGCCUUACACCUGCUGCUUACCGGCUGGAACCCUUUGGGGGGCUCCUCUUUCCCUAUCCACUGGGUUCCACGAGACUGGAAACCACUGCCGAAGGGGCUUCACCGAACACCAAAACUUCAGGGUGCACUUCACACUCACUUCAUCCAGAAGUAGGAAAUCCAAGGAUCUUCAUAAUUGUGGGUGGCCUGUCUGAUAUGACUUCAAGAACCUGUGAGGAAAAAGGCAUUGAUGAAUGAGGGCCAUUUAAUGACCAAUAACAACUCCAGGUGUGUAAUUU